AGACCGCUCAUGCUCCUUCCUCUCACAUUAACUUCAGGCCUCUAACAAUCACCGAUCUUUGACUAAUCAUUCUGAAGUAAUACAGGUUUAACUUAAAACAUGAAGAGCAAUGGUGUUGUCGCUGCUGAACAUGACAUCUCCCGCUGUUUUGUGUUUUUCCAGUCUACUUGUGCCUACUUCCUCUAAAUAGAAAUUUGUCAGUGUGGCUCUCUGUAUGACUAAUAGAAUGCAGCCAAUAACUGCACGUGUCGGUAAUUAAUCACGAUGUUACCUAAAAAAAGGUACUUAGUCCAUUAAAUCUCCACCGCGUGUGUCAAAUUCCUGAACAUGAAGCCUGUCCAUCUGUACCUACAAAAUAGCUAGAACAUCGGCAGUGAAAUUGAAGGAAGAUUGUGACGAGCUUCCUAGACUUGAGCUGCUGGAGAUCCCACAGCUAGAGCUCAACGACUCCAGCAAGUCACUGUUCCGGAAUGUGAUUGCGUUCGAGCGGACGUACACGUACCUGAAUACUAUCUUUUAUGAUUCUGAAUCUUCACAGGAGAGGGUUAAUUACAUACAAACAAUUUGCCUUAAUUCUUGAAGAGAAUGUUAAUCGGAUUCUCAUACCGAGGAACCAUCUUCACGUGCAUUUUCUUCACAAUCUGCUUGAUACAC
rnacentral:lncRNA from 1 species